AUUGAACGCUGGCGGCAUGCCUUACACAUGCAAGUCGAACGGCAGCACGGGAGCAAUCCUGGUGGCGAGUGGCGAACGGGUGAGUAAUAUAUCGGAACGUGCCCGGUCGUGGGGAUAACGUAGCGAAAGCUACGCUAAUACCGCAUACGAUCUACGGAUGAAAGCGGGGGGAUCGCAAGACCUCGCGCGAUUGGAGCGGCCGAUAUCAGAUUAGGUAGUUGGUGAGGUAAAGGCUCACCAAGCCGACGAUCUGUAGCUGGUCUGAGAGGACGACCAGCCAACACUGGGACCUGAGACACGGCCCAGACUCCUACGGGAGGCAGCAGUGGGGAAUUUGGACAAUGGGCGCAAGCCUGAUCCAGCAAUGCCGCGUGCAGGAUGAAGGCCUCGGUUGUAAC
rnacentral:rRNA from 1 species